rnacentral:rRNA from 1 species
CCUACGGGAGGCAGCAGUGGGGAAUAUUGCACAAUGGGGGAAACCCUGAUGCAGCGACGCCGCGUGAGUGAAGAAGUAAUUCGUUAUGUAAAGCUCUAUCAGUAGGGAAGAAAAUGACGGUACCUGAGCAAGAAGCCCCGGCUAACUACGUGCCAGCAGCCGCGGUAAUACGUAGGGGGCAAGCGUUAUCCGGAUUUACUGGGUGUAAAGGGAGCGUAGACGGCAGUGCAAGUCUGGAGUGAAAGGCGGGGGCUCAACCCCCGGACUGCUCUGGAAACUGUACGGCUGGAGUGCAGGAGAGGUAAGUGGAAUUCCUAGUGUAGCGGUGAAAUGCGUAGAUAUUAGGAGGAACACCAGUGGCGAAGGCGGGUUACUGGACUGUAACUGACGUUGAGGCUCGAAGGCGAGGGGAGCAAACGGGAUUAGAUACCCCAGUAGUC